CCUACGGGGGGCUGCAGUGAGGAAUAUUGGUCAAUGGCCGAGAGCCUGAACCAGCCAAGUCGCGUGAAGGAUGACUGCCCUACGGGUUGUAAACUUCUUUUAUAAAGGAAUAAAGUGAGUCACGUGUGCCUCUUUGUAUGUACUUUAUGAAAAAGCAUCGGCUAACUCCGUGCCAGCAGCCGCGGUAAUACGGAGGAUGCGAGCGUUAUCCGGAUUUAUUGGGUUUAAAGGGUGCGUAUAUGGGGUGUCAAGUCAGUUGUGAAAGUUUGCGGCUCAACCGUAAAAUUGCAAUUGAUACUGGAAGUCUUGAGUACAGGUGAGGUAGGCGGAAUGCGUGGUGUAGCGGUGAAAUGCUUAGAUAUCACGAAGAACUCCGAUUGCGAAGGCAGCAUACUAAACCGCCACUGACAUUGAUGCUCGAAAGUGUGGGUAUCAAACAGGAUUAGAUACCCUAGUAGUC
rnacentral:rRNA from 1 species